ACUUGUUCUUUAAAUGAGGACUAGUAUGAAUGGCACCACGAAGGUUCUACUGUCUCCCUUUUUUAAUCAGUGAAACUAAUCUUCCCGUGAAGAAGCGGGAAUAAACUUAUAAGACGAGAAGACCCUAUGGAGCUUUAAACUAUUUAUCAAUUGCUCAUCCAUUACCACUAUUUCAGAACCAUAUCUUUUAUUAUAGCUUUUUGAUAAUAAGUUUUAGGUUGGGGUGACCGCGGAGUAAAAAAUAACCUCCAUAUUGAAAGGAAACCUUUCCUGAGCAAAAAACUACAAUUUUAUGCACCAAUAUACUGACAUUAAUUGACCCAAUAAUUUGACCAACGAACCAAGUUACCCUAGGGAUAACAGCGCAAUCUACUUCAAGAGCUCCUAUCGACAAGUAG
rnacentral:rRNA from 1 species